CAGUAGCCGCGGUAAUACGGAGGGUGCAAGCGUUAAUCGGAAUUACUGGGCGUAAAGCGCACGCAGGCGGUCUGUCAAGUCAGAUGUGAAAUCCCCGGGCUUAACCUGGGAACUGCAUUUGAAACUGGCAGGCUAGAGUCUUGUAGAGGGGGGUAGAAUUCCAGGUGUAGCGGUGAAAUGCGUAGAGAUCUGGAGGAAUACCGGUGGCGAAGGCGGCCCCCUGGACAAAGACUGACGCUCAGGUGCGAAAGCGUGGGGAGCAAACAGGAUUAGAUACCCGCGUAGUCCCUGUCUCUUAUAA
rnacentral:rRNA from 1 species